CCAGCCUUCGGGGGCGCGGCUCCCUGCUCCCAAAGAACUCGGCCGCAACGCCCGGCCACCUAAGGCCCCCCCCCCCCCCCCGCCUCGUCUGGGGAUAAAAUAUAGCAAGAGGCAGGCAGGCAGCCGGCAGAAGAGAAGGCCGCCUGCGAAGGGAGGGGGCGAGCAAGAGACAGACGGCGGAAGGGGGCUAAUUGAACGUCUUGGCUGCUGGUCCAAGGCCUGUGGCGACCAAGCAGGUCCCGCCAGCCAGGGCGGAGUGUCUGGGCACGGCACAGAGACCCGAAGGAAGGCGAACAGGCCGCUCCCACGAGGCCAGCUCCCAAAAUUGUUUUUCUCCAUUCUUGGGCAUUUUGGUCAGAGGGCUGUUUUUAUGGAACAACUGAAUGGAUGAAAUCUGAAUUGUGGCCUCACCAACAAGUCCAGGACAACUUGCAAGUUAGCCUCAGUUAGCUGCAGGCAUACUUUGUUUUUCUCACUCAGUAAGAAGCAGUUGGAAGGUGGGAUAGCUUUAUUGAGGUGUGCUUACAACUCCCACAGUCAGUUCUAAUAGAUAGGUUUGGAGUGAGAAAUAUGCUGCCAUGGAAACAGAAUAAUGUCUGGAGGGGCCAAAUGUGAAACAUCCUUUGUUUUGAGUUUCAGUCAGUAUCAGCUGCUCGUGCCAUAGAGGGAAUAAGGCAGUGUGCUGCACGCUUUUUCUUGACAUGUGCUGAGGGCCAGCAGAGAAGCAUCUGAAAAAUUCAUUGUUUUUCUUCAAGAGGCAGAGUUCAAGUGUUCUGAAAGAAAUUCGGCAUGCUUAGGAAAACAAUUAUUGAUGUGCACCUUCCUACGUAUCCAUUACUGUUUUUAAGCAAAGGUGGGCUGCUGAUGAUCGUGUUCUAUAUUCCAUGAUGGGGCAGUAAAAUCUUGGUGGCUAAAUGAUCUUGGGUGAAACCUAUAGGAGACAUAACCCAGUCAAGCCAGAAAUGAUGACCAUGUACUAUGGAAAAUAAGCGAAGGUACAAUGUGGGCACUGACCCUUUACAGUUGCAGAGAUCAGAAUUCUGAAUUCAUCACUACUUGAUUAACUUGGACCACUGGCAGAUAUGAAGUUUAAAACUGCAAAUUCUUGGCCGUUAAGAACUGUCCCAAUGGAUUAAACCAAGACUCAUCCAGACUAGAUCUAUGUCUUCAGCACAGGAAGGACAUUGUUGAAAAGCAAACAAACAAGACAACAAGGUAUCAGCUUUGUCCUGUGCUUCCAGCCUCCAGUGCCCACUGCCAAUAAAUACAGAGAAUUUAAACUAUCUGUUAAACUAUCAUGGUGCAUGUUAGUCCCUUCAAGAAAUAACUGUAGUUCGAGUGGGUUUCUGUGCAGACACACAUUGGGAAUGUGCUUGCACAGGACUGCCAUGGAAAGAUUUACCAGCUUUCUGUCAGCUCUGCGGCUCUGAAGAGCACUCCCCCCCUUCCCUUGGGAGGGAAUAUUCCCACCCAAACGGUCAAGUGAGGGGAGGGCGGGGAGUCCUCUUUUUCUCAGUUCUUCUUUCGCCAACAUGGAGGAAAGAAGUUUUUGCUUCAGCUUUGCUGAUUCUUCACCUCACCUGAGGUAGUUUUUCAUCAAAAUUGUGAGGGUUUUUUUCUCUUCUUCCAUGGAAGUUGAAAAGGGCUCUGCUUUAUUUUGUUUCUUCUGGUGUUCCCUAAGUGAUCACUCUUUCCUGCCCUGUUUUAAUUGUUGUUUUGACAUUUUUGUAUACAUAUUUAACAAUGGUUUUAACUCUUUUGAUUAUGUGUUUUUGUUCAGUUUUAAUAGUUUUGAGAUAUAUUUUAUUAUGUAUGCUUUUAAUCUGUCAGCCACAUUAAAAACACAAACUUUAAGGAUAAUUUAAAUGCUACAAUCAUGUGUUUAAUAUGAAAUGUUCAACCUUCCAACAGUAUUUUUAAUAUCUGAAACCCUGCCCCAGACUAAUCAACUAGUUCCAAUGUAUCACCUGUUUUUGGAAAGUCUACUACACCUUUAUGUAGUUCUUCUGCCAAAAUGAUAGGCAGUGCAAUCCUGGGGAGGGGAGUAGUUGUGGAACAGCCAGGGAUGGUACAACCACAGCACAGCCACACUGCUUCAAAAGAGGCUUACUGCACUCUGACCAGCAAGCUGAGAGGGAUGAUCCCCCAACCCCCAUGGAACAGCUCUGUGCACCUCCUUUUUGCUGGCAUAAAUCUUCCCCAGCAAAUAGGGGCCUUCCCGAGCCAAAAGGGCUGUCCCAGUCCCUUUGGCGGUGGCAUGGCCUCCUGCACUGGAGAAGUACUGGUGCCACAGAAGAGCUGAUGCUCGAGUGUUGUUUUGCUGCACUGCUCCACAGUGCCAGUGUAAAUGCCCCAUAUGCUGGUUCAAGUGGCAUUUACGCUGUUGCCGGAGUCAUGCCACUCCCUGAGGGAUUUCGGACCUCCCCCCAGGAGUGCACUGUAAGAUGCUUUGCACUGAUAGUUUUCAGUGGUAUGAUAGUUACUAUUUUUGGUAGCCUGUUAAGUGUUUGCUAACUGAACAUUAAAAAUAUGACAUGCCA